rnacentral:lncRNA from 1 species
GUAUUUGCUUGGCCAAUGAGACAGCAGCUUAGGCUGGACUAGGAGUCAAAGAGGAUUCUGGGAAAUGUAGUAGAGAAGUGGUGUUCCAGACAGGAAGUGACAUAGCAAGGAGACUCAUAUUUAAGAAGAGGAAAAAGGAAGUGUCGCUCUCUUUUCUUUUCCCCUGGGCUCUUGCUCCAGCAGCAUGAUGUGAUUCACCAGCAAGGAGCGACACCAAUAAGGUGUCUGAUAAGGAAUGGAGUGAAUUUCCAAAAGGAAGACACACAUGGGGAAACAAUACUGAAAAGCCAAAUAUAGACAAAAGGAAUUGUACAACUUUACCAGCCUAGCUCAACACCCAAAGUAGCUGUGAUAAACUCUCAGUGGCACGUCCAUGCCCCAGCUGUCUGUGAAGAAGGAAGUACAAUCAUCCAGGAUCUCUGAUUUUGUGCAGCAUCCUUGCUGUUUGGUCCAUCUCUGGAUGGGAAAGGAAGUACAGAAUGUUACAAUAAAUCUUUCCGCCAAAAGCCGCAGAGCCCUACCGCCACGUGGGCGGUCUCCGCCAGCCACCCGAGUUCUGCCCGCUGCGUGGAUGGCCAAACAGUAUUUUAUUUAUCAUCCAGUAAGACAAACACAGAGAAGCACUUCUCCCAUCAACAAGAGACCAUUUCUUCCGCAGCAGUCAGCAUUCCAUCAUUACAAUAUCCAAGAUCGCCAUAGAGAAAAGGGUUUGUUUGGGUUCAUAGUAAUGGAGGUUCCAGUUCACAAUGAAUGACCCUGUCACUUUUGGGUUUAUGGUAAGAUAGUACACCAUGAUAUGUAAGCAUGUAUUGUAUAUGUAUACAUAAUAGAGCAAACUUUUCAAUGAAUGGCCAGGAGGUUAAAUAGAAGAAGAGAAGGAGCCUGAAGUCCCACAAUUUCCCUGAAGGCAUUGUAACUAUUGACCUAAAGACCUCUCAUGAAGUCCUACCUCUUAAAAGUUCCACCAUGUCUCAAUAAUAUUAUCACAUAGGCCCUGAGGGUUAUCAGAUCCUGGACUUUACUAUAUAGGAAAGUGUUUGGUAAACACAAUUGUCUGUGUAUAUGUGUAUGUUUAUCUGUGUAUCCAGUUCUAAUUGCUGGAGAAAGUUCUACAAAAAUAACAAUCUUUUCCCUGUUUUUCUACUCAACACUUCUACUUAAUGAUAGGCCUCAAAUGGAGAAAAAGAUAAAUGAAUAACUUCUUUUAUUCUAGAAAGAGAAUAAAAGGCAAGCAAGAAUGAGAAUAUCCAUCCACCUUGUCUUAGUUAGGGUUAUUAUUGCUGUGAUGAAACACCAUGAACAAAGCAACUUGGGGAAUAAAGGGGUCAUUUGGUUUAUGCUUCCACACCAAUGUCCAUCAUUGAAGGAAGUCAUGACAAAAACUCAGGGCAAGAACCUGAAGGAAGGAUGCAGAGGCCAUGGAGGAGUGCAGCUUAGUGGCUUGCUUCCCAUGGAUUGCUAAGCCUGCUUUCUUAAAGAAAUUAGGACCACCAACCAAUGGAUGGCACCAGCCACAAUGGAUUAGACCCUCCCACAUCAAUCACUAGGUGAAAAAAUGCCCUACAACUGGAUGUUAUGGAUGCAUUUUCUCAAUUAAGGUUCCCUUCUCUCUGAUGAUUCUAUUUUGUGCCAAUGUGAUGUAAAACUAGCCAGUACACAUUUCAAAUACGGCUUUCCAAUGAUACAAAAGCAAACAAGAAGUGACUUUAUCAUGCACAUAUGGAGAUUGUUGGAAGAGUGUACGUCUUUGACUAUUUCACUGGUUGUCCUUUACAAAUCACAAUCUCGAUAUAUGUUUACCUUUGGAGAAGACAGGAAAUGAUUUGCCAAGCCAAAUAGUACAUAGUAUCUGACAGAGAUUAGUGCAUCCCAAACUCUAAAUUUUCCUUAGAUACAUUAAGAUUAUGAUUUAGUGUCUGUGAAAGUGAGGGACUGAUAUCCUGGCAAGUUCCAUGAUUGAUUUUUUUUCAAGUCCAUCCUUGCCAGCUCCAUUUGACAUGCACAAACACAAUUGAUACACUCAUGCCACAGGUAAUCACUCCUUAAAGAGCUCCGUCCACCCCCAUGCGACACAUAUCAAUUCAUCAUGUCAUCUCCCCGCAUGCCAGACUAGUGUGUUUACUCGUUCAGUGGCAUCAUUUGAAUAGACAAGGUUAAUAGCAACUUAAUUUCACUUUAAUGAUACUUUAAAUGAAAUACCUUGAUGAACAUGAAGCCUUGGAUAGUCUGCUGAGUAAAUUCAAUCACAAAUUGUCAUUGUGACAAAGCUGUGUUUUUGACAGAUGGUUUUAUUUGGUCUUCUCCAUUUCAUGCAGAGCAUUAACACCUCUCUGCCUGAGGCAUUUUGAUGCCGUCAGCAUUUGCCACCAAACAACAUUCUGUUUUUAUGGAAGCUUGUUGCAAAAAUUACCAAUUUCAUUGUUCAAGACUUCAUUUUAAUUUUAAAAUAUAUUUUAUAUUAAAAUGCAAUUGCAAAAUUUCCUCCUUUUGUUUCCCCACUCUUACUGCUUGCAUAUACCUCCUUCGUUUUUUGCUCUUAAAUGAAUGGCAUCUUUCUCUUUGUUAUUUUUAUAUAUGUGUAUAAGUGCAUAAAUACUUCAAUAUAGUCAUCCGAGUCAAUUUAGUGUUGCUUGUGUGUACACGAUUUCAGAGCUUACUAUGUAUUUAUUCUGAUUGUAUAUGUAACUCUCUCUGGGAAAUGACUAGUUCUCCCAAUCUCAGCAUUUCUUAGUUGUCUGUCAUUCUUUGGGUAACUUUGGGACCCCAUGAAAUUUCCUCCUUCCAUUUUAAUAUGUCUAUUGGUGAUGUUAUUCUUCAGGUCUUGUUUAGGAAGCAAUAUUGGUGAGCAAUAUUGGAAGCUAUCAUAGGUAUAGCUUCCCUGUUGUUUCCAGGAGAUGCAAUCUCACAGCAGACUUCCUGGACCCCUGGCUUUUAUAAACUUUCUGUUUUCUUCUGCAAUGUUCCCUGAGCCAUAUGUGCAAGAGUUAUGUUGUUGACACACCCAUUUGAUCUGUGCACCCCACAAUCAAUUGUUCUCUGCGUUUUGACUAUUUAUAAUUUUUUGUAAUAGUCUCUAUCAUUCCAAAUAAAAUUUUAAUCUAGGCCAAGAGAUUCACUUGUAUCUGGAUACAAGGAUAAGGUUUUAUAAUGAAGUUAUGAUUUAUGUGGGUUUAGAAAGUUGGAGGUAGUAGAGAGUUCUCCUUUAGGAUCCAUAAGGUUAGUAUCCAGUAAGGUGCUUUCCCUCCUGUAGAGUGAACCAUACAUCUGAUUACACAGCUAUGGUUACUGCCAAUAUAUGAGUACCAGUGUUGUACCUUUAGGGGCAUCUUGCUAUGCUGGUCAUUUGUGUGGUUUAUCAGCAUCUAUGUAUAGAAAAUGUUAUUUUCCUUAUAUCUUAGUUAGUUAGGGUUUCUAUUACUGUGAUGAGACACCAUGACCAAACCAACUCUUUUUUUUAAUUAAAAAAAUUUAUUUUACAACCCAAGUUCCUCCUUCCUCCUUUUCUCCUGCUGCCCACCUCCCACCCUUACCACCCCCAUUCACUCCUCAUAGGGGUUAAGGCCUUCCUUGGAGAAUAAACAAAGUCUGGCAUGCCAAGUUGAGGCAGGACCAUGAGCUUUACUCAGAGCUUGACUGUGGGUCCCUGCAUCUACUUUCAUCAGUUACUGGAUGUAGGUUCUAUGAUGACAAUUAGGGUAGUCGCUAAUCUGAUUAAAGGGGAAGGCCUGUUCAGACACCCUCUACAUUAUUACUAAGAGUCUUAGCUGCAGUCAUCCUUGUGGAUUCCUGAGAAUUUCUCUAGCACCGGGUUUCUCCCUAAUCUCACAAUGGCAUCUAUCAAGAUAAAAACAUUUAAUUGGGGUGGCUCACUUAUACUUCAAAGUUUAGCUCAUUGUCGUCAUGGCAGAAAGCAAGGCAGCAUGCAGGAGGACAUGGCACUGGAGAAGUAGCUGAGAGUUCUUACUUCUUGACUCACAGACAACAGGCAGUGUUUUGCAACACUGGGUGGUAUCUUUAUCAUAUAUGAGUCCUCAAAACCUGCCUCCAGAGUGACACACUUCCUCCAACAAAACCACAUCUACUCGAACAAGAUCAUGCUCUGUAAUAGUGCCAUUCCCUUUAUGGGGCAUUUUCUUUCAAAUCAUUACACCUUCCUUGAUUGUUUUAAGGUCACAUUCAACUCCUUUGAAAUCUAGUCCUCAGGAAGAAGGCUCAUGGGUCAGAUGUAAUUAAAUUCUACAUCCUAAGAACAGGCGUCAUCAGCAAUAGGGACUUACCAAAAACCUGCAAUAGCAACAUCCUAUAUUGUCUGUUCUAAGAGUCUCUUAGAUGUUACUGAUCAACAACUCAAAAGAAGCUUUGAAUGCCUGGUACUGGGGGUUAUGUUAGUUUAUCACUCUUGGAGUGGAGCACUGCCAGCCCAAGUGAGAUAACUUCAUUAAAAAUAUGUAUAAUUCUUACAUAUAACAUUCAUAAUAUAUACAAUCUAUGUAUACAAGUGAAUUUAUAUUGUUUGUACUCUUCGACAAAUAAAAAUAGUAUGAGUCUUAUGGCUUUUUCAAACAUCUUUAGUGUUAUUUUCCAUCCCCUCCCUGCCAUUGUUUAAACUCCUUCGACCCAGUUAAAGCCUCCCCAUUAUUCCCAUUUCUCUCUUCCUAUCACUUGAAUCUUGCUAUUUUGCUGUCCAGCAGUUCUUCUGUCCCAUAGUGGCUUUUUACUUUCCUGGUUUUGGUGGUUACUUCAGAGUAUAUGCACAUAAAGCUGAAGCUUCUGUACAGCUUUGGGAAUACUCAACAAGAUAAAGAUGAAUCCCACAGAGUGGGAAACAAACAUUGCCUGAUCUACAGAUGACAAGGAUUCAUAUUCACAAUUUAUAAAGAACUCAAAAAAC